CGGGGCAUAGCGCAACUUGGUAGCGCGCGGCAAUUGGGGUGCUGAGGUUGUCGGUUCAAGUCCGGCUGCCCCGA
rnacentral:tRNA from 2 species